rnacentral:misc_RNA from 1 species
AAGGAUCAUUACCUAGAGUUGUAGGCUUUGCCUACCAUCUCUUACCCAUGUCUUUUGAGUACCUUCGUUUCCUCGGCGGGUCCGCCCGCCGAUUGGACAAACUUAAACCCUUUGUAAUUGAAAUCAGCGUCUGAAAAAACAUAAUAGUUACAACUUUCAACAACGGAUCUCUUGGUUCUG